rnacentral:rRNA from 1 species
UACGUAGGGUGCAAGCGUUGUCCGGAAUUAUUGGGCGUAAAGAGCUCGUAGGCGGUUUGUUGCGUCGGCUGUGAAAUCCCGAGGCUCAACCUCGGGUCUGCAGUCGAUACGGGCAAACUAGAGUAUUGCAGGGGAGACUGGAAUUCCUGGUGUAGCGGUGAAAUGCGCAGAUAUCAGGAGGAACACCGGUGGCGAAGGCGGGUCUCUGGGCAAUAACUGACGCUGAGGAGCGAAAGCGUGGGGAGCGAGCAGG